UGCCCAGCAACUCCUAUCCCUAACUCCUCGUGGUACCGACCGGAAACUAUGUACAACCUUAGGAAAGAUCGGGUAACCAACCCCGGUGGGAACUUUGGUUAUAGAAUGACAGGGAAGG
rfam:Aedes albopictus isolate Foshan contig61726, whole genome shotgun sequence.